AAAUAAAUUGUCCUUGGGAAGAUAGCAGUGGAGAUGCUGCACCUGAGGGAGGGAAAGGCACCGAGGAAGCAAACAGGAGAUACCAUCCCCAAACAACGACCUGCCAUGGCUAUAAAGAGCCACCGGGUCCGAGACCCUGCCAGCACCUUGACCCUAAAGGUGCCGAAUCCAGCGGAACUCUGCAGCAUCCGUCUCCAGGUCCCCGGGACUCCCAGAGCAACCCGACAAGGAUUGAUGAAGGAAAAUGGAAGGUGAUUGUGACCGGCGGGAAAGGCGAACUUCGUGGCAUCACCAUCCCUAUGUGUGCUGCAGGGAAAAUGCUUUCAAAUUUGUGGUUGCAGGAUUUGCUUUGAUUUCUGGUAUGUCUAUAGCGCUGAGUGUGCAACAUGCCCAGCCAACCCAUCAGCACCUCCAAGAAAAAGCCAGUUCCAACUUAGACAUGCACCCCAACAAAAGGUCCACAGCCCACAGAAUCACAGAAUCACAGAAUCACAGAAUGACCUGGGUUGGAAGGGACCUCAAGGAUCAUGUAGUACCAACCCCCCUGCCCAGCAGGGCCAGGCGGUAUGUAAAAAUUGACACAGAUUGGCCUUGGUCUCAAGCUCGUGUAAAAUAUACAGGUAGUAUG